CCAAUCUGAACAAUUUGGAUCUUAGUUGUAACCAAUUCAACAGCUCAAUUCCAAUUGAGCUCACCCGUUUAACUCAACUUUUUCAUCUUGAUCUUUCCUCAAAUAAACUUUCUGGAAAAAUUCCUUCACAGAUAGCAAGUAUGGAGGAUCUAACCUCGCUGGACCUAUCAAAUAACAACAUAAAAGGUUCAAUUCCCGGUGAGAUCACCAAGUUAUCUCGACUUGAUUAUCUAAACCUUUCCUUAAAUAAACUUUCUGGAAAAAUCCUUCACAGAUAGCAAGUAUGGAGGAUCUAACCUCGUUGGACCUAUCAAAUAACAACAUAGAAGGUUCAAUUCCCGGUGAGCUCACCAAGUUAUCUCAACUUUGUUUCGUCAAUCUUUCCUCUAACAAACUUUCUGGGCCAAUACCAUUUUCAAAUGAACAACUCUCAAGCAUGCAUUCCGUAAGCCUCUCUCCUAACAAGGGUUUAUGCGGCGGCAAUUUUCUUGAUCUUCCUUCAUGCCCUACAACCAAAUCUGCCACUCACUUUGUUGAAAUUUUUCUUGCCCUCGCCAUAGUCCCCUCAGUUAUAGUCUUUGCAUGCUUACUAGUCGUCAAACGUAAGUACAAGAAACCCCAACUCAAGGAAAGAGCAACCAAUAGCAUAGAUGUAUUUUCAGUAUGGAAUUAUGAUGGUAGGAUUGUCUACGAGGAUCUGAUUAGAGCCACGGAAGAUUUUGACAUUAGAUAUUGCAUUGGUACCGGAGGCUAUGGCAGCGUCUACAAGGCACAGCUUCCCAACGGCAAAGUAUUUGCAUUGAAAAAGCUUCAUCCUUCAGAAACAGAGGAACUAGCGUUCAUCAAGAGUUUCCGAAACGAGGCUCAAGUACUUUCUCAAGUACUGCACCGUAAUAUUGUCAAAUUAUACGGUUUUUGCUUGCACAGAAAAUGCAUGUUUCUGAUUUACGAGUACAUGGAGAGAGGAAGCUUGUUCUGCAUUUUACACGAUGAUGAUGAAGCCGUAGAGUUGGAUUGGGCUAAGAGGGUGAACAUUGUAAAAGCCAUGGCACAUGCUUUGGCUUACUUGCAUCAUGACUGCUCACCAUCAAUUGUUCACCGCGACAUAUCGAGCAACAGCAUUCUACUUAACUCAAAAUUGGAGGCAUUUGUUGCUGACUUUGGCACUGCCAGGCUUCUUUUUCUGUGUGAAUUGCAAGUGCAAAUAAGGUCAGCAAGUUUUAAUAUCGGUAAAUUAUAUUAAUUUGACACUUAAAAAUUAAGGAAAAAAAAAGAAUAUUCUGGAUUAAACCAACUUGGAGAGGUUGCACUUAUGUAAUAUCUAUCCUUAAAAAAUUAAAAAAAAAAGAUAAAUUAUAUAGCCCGAAAAGACCUUGACUCCAAAAGUAGUCUCUACUUCAAUCUGUGGAAAAUUUUGAUACAAUUAAGUUCUAAAUUUUUCCACAAGAUAAUUGUUGUUGGUGGUGUCUGGCUCGUUUUAGACGUUUAGAAAUUGUUAGAAAUUGUUAAGAAAAAAAAAAGAAUAUUCUGGAUUAAACCAACUUGGAGAGUUUGCACUUAUGUAAUAUCUAUCCUUAAAAAAUUAAAAAAAAAAGAUAAAUUAUAUAGCCCGAAAAGACCUUGACUCCAAAAGUAGUCUCUACUUCAAUCUGUGGAAAAUUUUGAUACAAUUAAGUUCUAAAUUUUUCCACAAGAUAAUUGUUGUUGGUGGUGUCUGGCUCGUUUUAGACGUUUAGAAAUUGUUAGAAAUUGUUAAGAAAAAAAAAAGAAUAUUCUGGAUUAAACCAACUUGGAGAGUUUGCACUUAUGUAAUAUCUAUCCUUAAAAAAUUAAAAAAAAAAGAUAAAUUAUAUAGCCCGAAAAGACCUUGACUCCAAAAGUAGUCUCUACUUCAAUCUGUGGUGUACACAAAAUAUAAAUUAUUAACCAAAUUUUUUAUUUUUUGAUUAUUUUUAUCGCCAGAAUGACACAAAAUAUAAAUUUAUAGGGUAGAAAAUAACAAAACAAAUAAAAAAUUAUAGUACUAAUUAUUUUACAAUGGUAAUUCUGUCAAUUUGAUAGAUAAUUGAUACAAAUAGUAAACUUAAGGUGAAAAAUAAAAAAUUGAAUAAAUUUAAAUUUUCAAAGUAUUUUUUUCUGUGUGAAUUGCAAGUGCAAAUAAGGUCAGCAAGUUUUGCUAUUGUGCUUAGGAAAUCUUCUUCCAUCCACAUUAUUUUUAUGAAAUUAAUAUCUGUGCAAUAAUUAUUGUAACUCAUGAGUUCUCAGAACUGUAAAUCAGAGUGGGAAUAUUUCCAUAUUGUGGCAUGACAUGGGCUUUUCUUCUCAAUCAAAUUUUAAAAAAUUUUGGAUUCUCUAUUUCACUAUUUAAUUGAGUAGACUGCAGAUAUAAAUGUAGACAAAUUAUUAGCCUUACUUCACAGAAGUUUCAAUGCUUGUCGUUUUGCAUUCCGCAAAACGACAAUGUUGAACCAUCAAUUUAAGUGGAACGGCAAUGUUGAAGUUGAUAUGAUAAAAGUGAAAAUGACUAGAUAUUCCGCAAAGUCUAACAUUCAAGAAAUUGAACCACCAAUCAAGUGAUCAAAUUCUCUCAUGUAAUUAAUUAUCAUCAAUUGGCUUGAAGGUCAUCAAGAAGGUACUGGAUUGACAAAUUAAUUGCUCUACUAUUGCAGUAAUAGGUUCUUGAAAGACUUUAGAGACUCAGAUUUUUUUUUUUAUUUUAUAAUUUUAUUUAUUAUUAGGAUAUUUAUAAUUUUUUAAUUUUUGGGCUUUUUUUUUUAAUUGCUAUUUGAUGAGAGUGCAUGUGUUUGAGUUGGAGUGAGUGAGAAUUAUUAGAGCAUCUUCAAAAGGAUCUUUAAAUUUACUCUUUAAAUUUUACUCUUCAAAUUUUAAUUUGCUUACUGAUAUGGCAAAUAAGUGUAUAGAAAAAUAUAAUUCCCUCCAAAAGACUCACCAAAUAAGAAUAAAUUAAUAUUAUUUUAAUCAAAUCUUUCCCACUAUCAAAUUAAAUUGUUAUUAUAUUUUUUAAAAGAAACAUAAAUAAUAAUUAUUGCAGUCUUAUCUUUUCAAUAAAUAAUAAUAAAAUAUUAAUAGAAGAGGGAGAAACUCACUCGGCAAUAUUGAAGAGUGAGAAACAAAUCUUAUUUGAAGAAUCUAAAUUAACGUGUUUUUUGGAGUGUUUAAUAUUGAUAUGACUCUUCAAAUAAGAAGUAGAAUCUUAUUUGAAGAGUCUUUUGGAGAUGCUCUUAGUUUCAAUAAUUAGAUUAUUUUUCCCCAACCUUUGGUUAGGGUUGUAUUUUCUUUUUUCUUUUUCUUUUUUUUUACGGUCUUGAUAUUAUAUUAUAUUUUAAUUAUAAAAAUUGGUAUUGUUAUUUAUCAUCUUGCAUCUCUCUUCUUCGCUUCCAAAUUCUGCUAGUGCUAUUUGCUUGGCGACUAAACUGAAAAACUCCCAGAGACCGUUUCUAUUAUAAGUAUUGUUAAUUUUAAGUAUAUUUAGUACAAAAACUAGCUGCAGGAAAUUGACUUUAAAUAAGAAAAAAAAUCUAUUUAGGUGAUUAAAAUCUAAAGUUAAUUGAAAAUCUAUUGCAAAUUAAUAAUUCAAAAUCCGUGUCAUUAUUUUAAGGCAAAAACUUAUCAAGAAAAAUUGAACUGGGGAUAGUUUUAUGUAGUUUCGUAUUUUCAAUUUCGAAUGGGCUGGUUUAAUAAUUAGACCAUCUAAUUAAAACAUCAUACUUAUCUUGAAAUUCAAUUUUAGUCCUCACAUAGUUUCGGUGCUUUUCGAAAAUCUUAAUGGCAUUCGAAGUCUUCAUCUUGCUUUGGAUUCAACCAUAUCUGUUUUUCUUUUCUUUUUUUCAGGUUUCAUUUACACCAAAUUUUCUCCAUUAUCCAUUCGCAAAUGAAUAGUGAAUCACAUAGGAAUAUGAAAAACCUGUGAGGUUGAUACAAAGUAAUUAACAAAUCUUGGUUUGCAGACAAUUGAUUGUAAUCAGUUCCCAAACUCUCUUCAUUAUCUUCUGAAAGCAACUUGCAUCAGUUGAGGUUAACUGAUGAAGAAGAUACUAAAAAAUACAAACAAGAGCAAUAAAUUAAAAACAAAUGCAACAAACAAGAGGCAUUAAAAUUUAGAGUGCUAGCUAGGUCUCUCUGUGUGAGGCUAAUGGUCAAUUUUGGAAAAAUUGUUCGAAUAGUCAAAAUUGAUUGUUUGAAACUAACUACAAACGUGUGUUUCGGUAAAUUAUUUUAUUUGAUUUCAGCCCGAGUUAUAUUAAUUUGGCACUUUAAAAAUUAAGAAAAAAAAAAGCAUAUUCUGGAUUAAACAAACUUGGAAAGAAGCUACACUUGUAAACAAAUUAUAUAGGCCCGAAAGACCUUGACUCCAAAAGAAAUCUGCUUUUCAAUCUUCAGAAAAUUUUGAUACAAGUUCUAAAUUUUCCACAAGAUAUCUCAAAGUGAAAUUUUCAAACAAUUGCUGUCGGUGCCGUCUAGCUCGAAUUAGACGUUUAGGAUUUUUUAGAACUUCUAUAAGGACAAUGACUUCUUGAGUCAUGAAUAAAAGACCAUUUAUGGAUUAACAAAAGUCUGUGUGUGGCUCCAAAACCAAUUUUUACUGAUUAUUUGAUUUUUUUAUUGCCAGAAUGACACUAAUUACAAAUUUAUAGAGUAGAAAAUAAUAAAAAAAGAGUUAAAAAAAAUCAUAGUACUAGUUAUUUUACAAGGGUAGUUCUGUCAAUUUGAUUGAUGAUUGAUACAAUAAACUUGAGGGUGAAAAAUUAAACAAAUUUAAAAUUUUGAAAUAUUUUUUAUAAUAAAGCAAGCUUAAGGUGGAUAACCGAUAUUUUUCCUGUCAUUAUUAGUCUAAAUCCUCCAUUUUUUUUUUUAAUUUGGAAGCUACUCUACCAGGCCCAGGGUUAUUAGUAAAUUUGUGAUUGCUAAUCACGAAUAAAAAGAGAAAAACAACAAAAAAAGCAAUGUUAUUGAGAAUAAUCAAAAUAUAUAUGUAGAUUUAAACCAAUCAUAUUCACAAACCAAAUUCCCUCAAAAGCCUUAAAGGCCAGAGAAGACUUUGACCCACUAUUGUGAUUGAAAAACGUGUGUGGCGAUUAAUGUACGGGAGGAGGAUUUAACGCGGGAAGAAAAAUAGAAGACGACUAUGAGUCUGCUCAUGGUGUCCUUUUCCAGGGUUAAAAUGUUUAUAUAAACUUUGUAAGAGCUUGCUGAAUCCAAUAGCUCAAUCAACCGAAAAGUUAAUUAUAAGCAUGGAUCCGGCAUCCUCCAUUUUCAGAUUGGCGGCCCUUGUAUGGGUUGUAAUAUUUACAUGCGAUAACGUUGCUGUUAGAACUGGUACAAUUGUCACAGCAUCUGCUUUGUCACCCAUACAGUUAGAAACGAAAGCUUUACUCAAUACUGGCUGGUGGAACAACAGCUGGACGACGGCCGACUACUCUUCGCGUCAUUGCGAGUGGAUUGGCAUCACUUGCAAUUCAGCUGGAAGCGUAAUCGAGCUAUGCUUAUCAGAGUAUAUUGUUUCCUACUUAUUAGGGUAUGAUGUUGACUUCAAUGGGCAACUUAGCCAAUUAAACUUCUCUUGCUUUCCGAACCUCGAAAAUCUGACAAUCCAGUCCUUUCCUUUUACUGGAAGCAUACCACCAGAAAUUAGUGCUCUUUCAAAACUCCAACGGCUGGACUUGUCCUCGAACGGACUUACAGGUAACAUACGAAAUUAACUUCAUUACCGCAUAUUAUUUGAGCAAUCAUAUUUAAAUGGAUUAAGUUUGAGAGAAUACUGACAAAAGCAAAGGUAAACCUGGUCUAUUUUAUCAUAUUAAUUGAAAAAAAUAAUAAUAAUUAACACGGUAGAUACGCCUGUUUACCAUUAAUUGUUUUUACUUAUGUUCUGUCAGCGUUUAAUUUCUUUAACAUUUUUUUUUCAUAAUUUUCGUAAACUAAUAACAUAAAUGUAUAUAAUAGGUACAAUCCCUUCAGAGAUUGGAAAUUUGAGGAAUCUUAUCAAUCUUGAUCUAUCUGCUAACAACCUUACCGGACCUGUUCCUUCAACUCUUGGUCGUUUAACCAGCCUGAAAAAUUUGAUCCUUGCUUACAACCAACUCAGUGGGCUGCUACCUCAGGAAAUUGGGAAUCUGAGAAAUUUAAUCAAGUUGGACGUGGGCAACAACGGCAUAAUUGGGCCUAUUCCUUCAACUCUAGGUCUUUUGACCGAUUUGAGCUAUUUGAAUCUUAGUUGUAACCAAUUCAACGGCUCAAUUCCAAAUGAGCUCACCUGGCUAACUGGACUUCUUGGUCUUAAUCUUUCCUCAAAUAAACUUUCUGGAAAAAUUCCUCCAGAGGUAGCAAGUAUGAAGAAUCUAACCUGGUUAGACAUAUCAAAUAACAAGAUAGAAGGUUCAAUUCCCGGUGAGCUCACCGAUUUAUCUCGACUUGAUUAUCUAAAUCUUUCCUGGAACAAACUUUCUGGCCCAGUACCGUUUUCAAAUGAACAACUCUCAAGCAUGUCUAGAGUAAGACUCUCUCCUAACAAGGGUUUAUGCGGCAAUUUUAUUACUCUUCCUUCAUGCGAUGCAACCAAACCUGCCACUCUGUUUGUUGAAAUUUUUCUUCCCCUCGCCAUAGUCCCCUCAGUUAUAGUCUUUGCAUGCUUACUAGUCGUCAAACGUAAGUACAAGAAACCCAAAGUCAAGGCAAGAGCAACCAAUAGCAUAGAUGUAUUUUCAAUAUGGAAUUAUGAUGGUAGGAUUUUCUACGAGGAUCUGAUUGAAGCCACGGAAGAUUUUCACAUUAAAUAUUGCAUUGGUACCGGAGGCUAUGGCAGCGUCUACAAGGCACAGCUUCCCAACGGCAAGGUAUUUGCAUUGAAAAAGCUUCAUACUUCAGAAACCGAGGAAUUAGCGUUCAUCAAAAGUUUCCGAAACGAGGCUCAAGUACUUUCUCAAGUACUUCACCGUAGUAUUGUCAAAUUAUACGGUUUUUGCUUGCACAAAAAAUGCAUGUUUCUGAUUUACGAGUACAUGGAGAGAGGAAGCUUGUUCUGCAUUUUACACAAUGAUGAUGAAGCCGUAGAGUUGGAUUGGGCUAAGAGGGUGAACAUUGUAAAAGCCAUGGCACAUGCUUUGGCUUACUUGCAUCAUGACUGCUCACCAUCAAUUAUUCACCGCGACAUAUCAAGCAACAACAUUUUACUUAACUCAAAAUUGGAGGCAUUUGUUGCUGACUUUGGCACUGCCAGGCUUCGACAUGCUGAUUCGUCCAAUCGAACUCUAUUAGCAGGAACAUAUGGAUAUAUAGCUCCAGGUUUACCCUUAUGAUAUCUAUUCUUCUCAUGAUCGAUCCUUUAUUUCGUUCAAUUUUAUUUUCUUUUGCUUUAUAUUGCAGUCAUAUCCCAUAACAUCUCUCUUAAAUAGAUAGCCAGCUGGCUAGAGAAACUCACAAAUGGAAUUAUGUCUUUUAUUAGUGGGAAGCUACAUUCUAUGAUUACAGCUCCAGGUUUACCCUUAUGAUAUCUAUUAUUCUCACGAUCGAUCCUUUAUUUGGUUCAAUUUUAUUUUAUUUUGCUUUAUAUUCGCUUGAAGUAUUAAUGGGAAAGCAUUAAAUAGAUAGCCAGCUGGCUAGAGAAACUCACAAAUGGAGUUAUCUCUUUUAUUAGUGGGAAGCUACAUUCUAUGAUUACAUUUUUUUGUUUUGGGCAGAACUUGCCUACACCAUGGUUAUGACGGAGAAAUGUGAUGUUUAUAGCUUUGGAGUGGUGACACUUGAAGUAUUAAUGGGAAAAAGGUUAUUCAAGAUAUUUUCGUCAUUAUCAUCAUCAUCUGAUCCAAAAAUCAUGUUGAUUGAUGUUUUAGACCAACGUCUUCCACCUCCAGUUGAUCAAAAGGUUAUUCAAGAUAUCCUUCUUGCUUCAACAAUUUCAUUUGCAUGCUUGCAAUCGAACCCAAAGUCUCGACCUACAAUGCAAUAUGUGUCUCAAGGAUUUCUCAUCACUCGCAAGACUCCAUUGGUAAAGCAUGCUGCUAUUCAAGAUAUUUCCAUCUCAGAACUUAGAAACUAAUAGAGGAUGAUCAAUAUAAUUGCUAAUCUUAAAUGUAUUUCGUUGGUAGUAUUUUGUAAAACUUUGGUGAGGGUGAAUAUUGGUUUCAUGAAACCGUUGUCUUUCUUGAAAAAAAAUGAAAGUAACUCUUCUAUAGUGAAAUUGGUGCUUCCAAUCUAAACUAUUAAAUCUUUAAUUAUUUUUCUGUGUGAAUUGCAAGUUUUGCUAUUGUGCUAAGUCAUAUUUGGUAUUAAUGUAUUGUAACUUUUAACAAAUAACUAUGUUAGAACAAAAAUGUAAUUAUAAAAUAAAAGUUGAGAGUGUAUAAACCAACUUGGAGAGGUUGCACUUAUGUAAUAUCUAUCCUUAAAAAAUUAAAAAAAAAAAAAUUAUAUAGCCCGAAAAGACCUUGACUCCAAAAGUAGUCUCUACUUCAAUCUGUGGUGUACACAAAAUAUAAAUUAUUAACCAAAUUUUUUAUUUUUUGAUUAUUUUUCUCGCCAGAAUGACACAAAAUAUAAAUUUAUAGGGUAGAAAAUAACAAAACAAAAAAAAAAUUAUAGUACUAAUUAUUUUACAAUGGUAAUUCUGUCAAUUCGAGAGAUAAUUCAUACAAAUAGUAAACUUAAGGUGAAAAAUAAAAAAAUUGAAUAAAUUUAAAUUUUCAAAGUAUUUUUUUCUGUGUGAAUUGCAAGUGCAAAUAAGGUCAGCAAGUUUUGCUAUUGUGCUUAGGAAAUCUUCUUCCAUCCACAUUAUUUUUAUAAAUUAAUAUCGUGUGCAAUAAUUAUUGUAACUCAUGAGUUCUCAGAACUGUAAAUCAGAGUGGGAAUAUUUCCAUAUUGUGGCAUGACAUGGCUCAUAUCAGUGACUGUUUCCGCCGGCUUUGUUUGCUCCUCUCUCUUCUUCUCAGUCAUUGCUCUACUAUUGCAGUAAUAGGUUCUUGAAAGACUUGAGAGGCUCAUAUUUUUUUUUAAUUUUAUAAUUUUAUUUUAUUAUUAGGAUAUUUAUAAUUUUUUUUUAAUUUUUGGGCUUUUUUUUUAAUUGCUAUUUGAUGAGAGUGCAUGUGUUUGAGUUGGAGUGAGUGAGAAUGUAUUAGUUUUAAUAAUUCGAUUAUUUUUCCCCAAUCUUUGGUUAGGGUUGUAUUUUCUUUUUUCUUUUUCUUUUUUUUUACGGUCUUGAUAUUAUAUUAUAUUUUAAUUAUAAAAAUUGGUAUUGUUAUUUAUCAUCUUGCAUCUCUCUUCUUCGCUUCCAAAUUCUGCUAGUCCUAUUUGCUUGGCGACUAAACUGAAAAACUCCCAGAGACCGUUUCUAUUAUAAGUAUUGUUAAUUUUAAGUAUAUUUCGUACAAAAACUAGCUGAAGGAAAUUGACUUUAAAUCAGGAAAAAAAAAUCUAUUUAGGUGGUUAAAAUCUAAUAAAGUUAAUUGAAAAUCUAUUGCAAAUUAAUAAUUCAAAAUCCGUGUCGUUAUUUUAAGGCAAAAACUUAUCAAGAAAAAUUGAACUGGGGAUAGUUUUAUGUAGUUUCGUAUUUUCAAUUUCGAAUGGGCUGGUUUAAUAAUUAGACCAUCUAAUUAAAACAUCAUACUUAUCUUGAAAUUCAAUUUUAGUCCUCACAUAGUUUCGGUGCUUUUCGAAAAUCUUAAUGGCAUUCGAAGUCUUCAUCUUGCUUUGGAUUCAACCAUAUCUGUUUUUCUUUUCUUUUUUUCAGGUUUCAUUUACACCAAAUUUUCUCCAUUAUCGAUUCGCAAAUGAAUAUUGAAUCACCUAGGAAUAUGAAAAACCUGUGAGGUUGAUACAAAGUAAUUAACAAAUCUUGGUUUGCAGACAAUUGAUUGUAAUCAGUUCCCAAACUCUCUUCAUUAUCUUCUGAAAGCAACUUGCAUCAGUUGAGGUUAACUGAUGAAGAAGAUACUAAAAAAUACAAACAAGAGCAAUAAAUUAAAAACAAAUGCAACAAACAAGAGGCAUUCAAAUUUAGAGUGCUAGCUAGGUCUCUCUGUGUGAGGCUAAUGGUCAAUUUGGAAAAAUUGUUCGAAUAGUCAAAAUUGAUUGUUUGAAAUUAACUACAAACGUGUGUUUCGGUAAAUUAUUUUAUUUGGCUUCAGCCCGACAUAUAUUAAUUUGGCACUUAAAAAUUAAGAAAAAAACAAGAAUCUUUUGGAUUAAACGAACUUGGAAAGAAGCUACACUUGUAGACAAAUUAUAUAGCCCGGAAAGUCCUUGACUCCAAAAGAAAUCUACUUCAAUCUUUGGAAAAUUUUGAUACAAGUUCUAAAUUUUCCACGAGAUAUCCCAAAAUGUAAUUUUCAAACAAUUGUUGUUGGUGUUGUCUAGCUCGUUUUAGACGUUUAGAAAUUAUUAGAACUUGUAUAAGGACAUCGACUUCUUGAGUCAUGAAUAAAAGACCAUUUAUGGAUUAAUAAAAGUCUGUGUGUGGCUCCAAAACCAAUUUUUACUGAUUAUUUGAUUAUUUUUAUGCCAGAAUGACACUAAUUACAAAUUUAUAGAGUAGAAAAUAAUAAAAAAAGAGUUAAAAAAAUUGACACAAAUUACAAAUUUAUAGGGUAGAAAAUAACAAAACAAGAGAAAAAAAAAAUUAUAGUACUAGUUAUUUUACAAGGUUAAUUCUGUCAAUUUGAGGAUAAUCAAAAUAUAAGUGUAGAUUUAAACCAAUCAUACUCACAAAUCAAACUCCCACAAAAGUCUAAAGGCCCGAGAAGACUUUGACUCAGUAUUGUGAUUGAAAAACGUGUGGGCAAUUAAUGUACAGGAGGAGGAUUUAACGCGGGAAGAAAAAUAGAAGACGACUAUGAGUCUGCUCAUGGUGUCCUUUUCCAGGGUUAAAAUGUUUAUAUAAACUUCGUAAGAGCUUGCUGAAUCCAAUAGCUCAAUCAACCGAAAAGUUAAUUAUAAGCAUGGAUCCGGCAUCCUCCAUUUUCAGAUUGGCGGCCCUUGUAUGGGUUGCAAUAUUUACAUGCGAUAACGUUGCUGUUAGAACUGGUACAAUUGUCACAGCAUCUGCUUUGUCACCCAUACAGUUAGAAACGAAAGCUUUACUUAAUACUGGCUGGUGGAACAACAGCUGGACGAUGGACUACGAUUCGGAUCAUUGCGAGUGGAUUGGCAUCACUUGCAAUUCAGCUGGAAGCAUAAUCGGGCUACACUUAUCAAAGGAUAAUGUUAACUUCAAUGGGCGGCUUAGCCACUUAAACUUCUCUUGCUUUCCGAACCUCGAAAGUCUCAGAAUCCUGGCCUAUUAUGAUGGUUUUACUGGAAGCAUACCAUCAGAAAUUAGUGCUCUUUCAAAACUCCAACUGCUGGACUUGUCCUCGAACAGGCUUAGAGGUAACCUGCAAAUUUAACUUCAUUACCGCAUGUUAUUUGAGCAAAGAUAUUUAAAUGGAUAAGUUUGAGAGAAUACUGACAAAAACAAAGGUAAACCAGGCCUAUUUUAUCAUAUUAAUUGAAAAAAAAUUAAUUAACACGGUAACAACACAUUUCUACUAUUGUUCUUAUUAAUAUCAACGUUUAAUUUCUUUAGUAUUUUUUUUUUUUUUUUUUUUUUAUAAAUGUAUAUAAUAGGUACAAUCCCUUCAGAGAUUGGAAAUUUGAGGAAUCUCACCAAUCUUGAUUUAUUUGAUAACGUCCUUACUGGAACUGUUCCUUCAACUCUUGGUCGUUCAACCAAAUUGAAUUUUAUGAGCCUCUCUCGCAACAUGCUCGGUGGUAUACUACCUUAGGAAAUUGGGAACCUGAAGAAUUUGAUCGAGCUGGACGUGGGCAGUAACAGCCUAAUUGGACCGAUUCCUUCAACUCUAGGUCUUUUGACCGAUUUGAGCUAUUUGGACCUUAGUCGUAACCAAUUCAACAGCUCAAUUCCAAAUGAGCUCACCUGGCUAACUGGACUUCUUGGUCUUAAUCUUUCCUCAAAUAAACUUUCUGGAAAAAUUCCUUCACAGAUAGCAAGUAUGGAGGAUUUAACCUGGUUGGACCUAUCAAACAACAACAUAAAAGGUUCAAUUCCCGGUGAGAUCACCAAGUUAUCUCGACUUGAUUAUCUAAAUCUUUCCGGUAACAAACU
rnacentral:lncRNA from 1 species